GCCCCAAAAUGAAGCAUAAGGU
rnacentral:snRNA from 1 species